CAAUAGCGUAUAUUAAAGUUGUUGCAGUUAAAAAGCUCGUAGUUGGACCUUGGACCUGGACAGGCGGUCCGCCUCACGGCGAGUACUGUCUUGCUGGGUCCUUCCUCUUGGUGAUCUGUUGUUUCGGCAGCAGGGAACCAGGACCUUUACUUUGAAAAAAUUAGAGUGUUCAAAGCAGGCUCGACGCCGGAAUAUAUUAGCAUGGAAUAAUAAAAUAGGACGUGCGGUUCUAUUUUGUUGGUUUUUGGAAUCGCCGUAAUGAUUAAUAGGGACAGUCGGGGGCAUUAGUACUCACAUGCUAGAGGUGAAAUUCUUGGAUUUUGUGAAGACUAACUUCUGCGAAAGCAUUUGCCAAGGAUGUUUUCAUUA
rnacentral:rRNA from 1 species